UACGAAGGGGGCUAGCGUUGCUCGGAAUCACUGGGCGUAAAGGGUGCGUAGGCGGGUCUUUUAAGUCAGGGGUGAAAUCCUGGAGCUCAACGUCCAGAACUGCCUUUGAUACUGAAGAUCUUGAGUUCGGGAGAGGUGAGUGGAACUGCGAGUGUAGAGGUGAAAUUCGUAGAUAUUCGCAAGAACACCAGUGGCGAAGGCGGCUCACUGGCCCGAUACUGACGCUGA
rnacentral:rRNA from 1 species